AUGUUUUCAUGGUAUCAGAGCGGGAAAAUCUUUCUAUCCUUCUCUGUUACGCGUUAUCGAUGCUUGAUGAAGCUUUCGCUGAAAUUUUUCUUCGGUUAUCUGAGAAAAAUAUUUUUUUCGAUGAAUGUUAAUCGGUUAAUCGGGACUUUUAUGUCUGUUUGAGACUCUGAUCCUGUAUCAGUAGAUGUUUUGAGUGAUUUUUCGACAUCUCUGACUUUGUUCCGACGAGUUCUUCAAAUUCUAGGGUUUUCCGACUUUCGGACCUAGAGUUUUGGUGUUAUCCGAUGACUUUCUCUUCGCUUGAUGGACGUUUUGGGUGAUUUUCCGGCGUCUAUGACCUUACUCCGGUGAGUUGUAGAACCUAGGGUUUCUGGUGUUGGACCUAGGGUUUUCUUUGUUGAUUGAAGGCCGAUCUUCUCCGGUCGCAAAGAAGGAGGGUAACUCUGUCCUUAUUUUGAGUAUUGUAUGCUUUGUGUGUGACUAUCUGGUUUUGUAUGUGAGUAUCUGGUUCCGUUAUAUUUUGCUUGCCGACACUGUUUUUUUUUCUUCAAGCUGAUUCAUUAAUCAUGGCUUCUAACCACUGUUGGUACCUCCUCCUCGGUAGACUCUACCGGCCCCCUUUUUGUAUAUUCCUCUGAUGUCCCUGGGAUCUCUCUUGUCCCCACUCCCUUCUCGGUAGUGGUUAUGGGGGUUGGAGGCGAAAGAUGAUUGUUGCAUUAUCUGCUAAAAACAAAAUUGGAUUUGUUGACGGCUCAUGUCCUCGACCUACCACUAAUGUGGCUCAACAGAGGCUGUGGG
rnacentral:lncRNA from 1 species